rnacentral:rRNA from 1 species
GAUGAACGCUGGCGGCGUGCUUAACACAUGCAAGUCGAACGGAAAGGCUCCUGCUUGCAGGGGUACUCGAGUGGCGAACGGGUGAGUAACACGUGGGCGAUCUGCCCUGCACUUCGGGAUAAGCCUGGGAAACUGGGUCUAAUACCGGAUAGGACCACAUUUUGGAUGGUGUGGUGGAAAGUUUUUCGGUGUGGGAUGAGCUCGCGGCCUAUCAGCUUGUUGGUGGGGUAAUGGCCUACCAAGGCGUCGACGGGUAGCCGGCCUGAGAGGGUGUACGGCCACAUUGGGACUGAGAUACGGCCCAGACUCCUACGGGAGGCAGCAGUGGGGAAUAUUGCACAAUGGGCGCAAGCCUGAUGCAGCGACGCCGCGUGGGGGAUGACGGCCUUCGGGUUGUAAACUCCUUUCGCUAGGGACGAAGCGUUUUUGUGACGGUACCUGGAGAAGAAGCACCGGCUAACUACGUG